rnacentral:rRNA from 1 species
AACGAACGCUGGCGGCAUGCCUAACACAUGCAAGUCGAACGGGGCAGCAAUGCCUAGUGGCGGACGGGUGAGGAAUACGUAGGAAUCUGCCCUUAAGUGGGGGAUAACCAGGGGAAACCCUGACUAAUACCGCAUGAUCUCUUCGGAGCAAAGAGGGGGACCGCAAGGCCUCUCGCUUCUGGAUGAGCCAACGUCGGAUUAGCUAGUUGGUAGGGUAAAGGCCUACCAAGGCGACGAUCAGUAACUGGUCUGAGAGGAUUAUCAGUCACACCGGAACUGAGACACAGUCCGGACUCCUACGGGAGGCAGCAGUGAGGAAUAUUGGACAAUGGGCGCAAGCCUGAAUCAGCAAUGCCGCGUGUGUGAAGAAGGCCUUCGGGUUGUAAAGCACUUUAGCCUGGAAAGAAAAAACUUUGGUUAACACCCAAAGUCUUGACGGUACCAGGAGAAUAAGCACCGGCUAACUCUGUGCCAGCAGCCGCAGUAACAC